GUUUCUUUCCAGACGCUUUGUUCUUCUCUAAGAGCCAAGCACGAUAUCAUUUAUCUUCUAAAGUCUGGUCUUCUUGCGUUGUAUGUCUCUUAUCUGAAGUCAUUUUCUCAGUUCUCAAGCUACUGAACAUGAGCGAUUGGAUGGAAAACCUUUGAGCAUUUGAUAGUUGAGCUCGGCAGGACAAAAACUACCAAGCAACGUAGUAAAUUGAAAAGUAAGUAAAUUAUAAAACUUGGUGUCAUAUUUUAAGCACUAUAUUGUAUGUAUGUUUGAGGACUUGAAUUUAC